GAGACAGUCAACAACACAAAAGCAUGAGAUGCUCCGCAGCAACAGUUCUCCAGGGCUGGGAUCAAGUCCUGUCUCCUCUCUAAUCCAACGCCCGUCAUUAGCACUGACAGAAGUGAACCUUCAGAAUCCAAGUGGAUUUCCCAAGAGUCAUUCACCAGAAAUGUUACAAGAGCAAAGUUAAUUCUGCCUGUCUGCCCCAAGUGAAUGAAGGUAGGAGUCUCUCACUCUGAAAACAAACAAGAACCUUUCCAGAGAGUUUGAUCAUCUUUUAAGAUUCGGUCCACACCAUCAUCAUUUUCAGGAGAAGAAAAGUUCCGCCCCACCCACUGAUGAGCUGGGAGGCCUCCUGUCUCAGUUAGGCUCUCCUGGAAGCCAUGAACACGCUGGUGUCUUUGCACGUUCUUCCUCUCCUCCCUGACUCCGUCUAAGCAGAUUGAAAACUUAGUUUCUGAGCCCUGAAGCAAAGAGAGAAGAGCAGCCAGCCUCCCUUGGAAGCUCUUCACAGUCUCCCAGGGAUUUCCAGUCAUGGCCAACAUCUUUGUUACAGGACGGAAUCCAGCAACCACUCGCAACCUUAGCAUAGAGCAGUAGCCAAGUCUUACGGGCUAGUUACGAAUAUCAGAUGUGCGGUGACUAUCCACGGGCUUAGAGUGAGUUGGGCAUAUUUAAGUUAUGAAAGACGUGUUUAUUUCCCCUGGACCCCAAAUAAAUGUCAGUGACAGCUCCAA
rnacentral:lncRNA from 1 species